UUUCGUGCCUUAGUAAAUGGUUGAAUCUCGUUUUCUUUCCGAUCAAUCACAGUGAUGCGAAAGAUACUAGAGCUUACCUGUGUGCUUCUCCUCGAGCUCCAUCGCCGCGUCUUUGAGCUUCUGUGCUUCCUCCGCAGCUCGAGAGGUUAUGUCGGCUGCAGCCUUGAGCUUCUGUGCUUCCUCCGCAGCUCGAGAGGUUAUGUCGGCUGCAGCCUUGACGUCCGGUUCGAUGACGGUGCCGAUGUCCGAACGCAUAGAGUCCGUUGUGGCUUUUACCUAUGCUUCCAACAGUUGAAACUUAAAAUGCUUGGAAGGUUGGAGCAAAGCAAAUGAGCGUGCUCACCUUGUCCCUGAGUUUUUCUCUUGUUGCGUCUUCUGGGAUCGACUCGGCCACUUCCUCGAAAAAUUCUUCCACUUUCUCUGUUACUUCUGCAAUGCCGCUCACUGUUAGUGCUGCGUCGUCUAAUUGAUCCGUGCAGUAGUGCACAAUAGCAUGUAACAAUAAGAAAGCAACGUUAAUACCUUCCACUUUAUGGAUAAUCUGUCGCUCCUUUUCUAUAAUUCCCAGGAUGAGGGCCGGAAUUCUUAUCAGAAAAGCCGACACAUCCGAUCUGCAGAAUUGGUUAAAUAAAAGAGACACAAAAUGACAAUUCUCACAUAUUCAAGGAGAAAAAGGACUUCGAAACUGGGCCAUCUGUAUCGUUACUGUUUCGUCACAAUUCACGAGAAUUUGUUUUCGUAGUGGAAAGAUCCGAAAGCUUACCUCGAUCUGGCGAUGAUAUUGGAGCGCCUUGCGGAAGAGAAGCGAAUGAUUUGUUCCGCCGGGAAGGAUGAGUAGAGCUUCAGAGCAACCAAAUCCUGUUGCCUUCUCGUAGAAAUUCUGGAUCCCGUACUCGCGCUCAAGUGAUUGUUGAUUGAUAGAACCUGGUAGCCGCGUCGUUCUGCCAGAGGAUUGAAAUGCAAUCCUGGAAAAGCGAUAUCAGAAACCGUCCAUUCUUGAAUCCAGAUCCAAGCAGUGCGAUCUCCCUUUAAGAAGCCCUCGAAUCGAAACUUCAAAGUCAGCACUUUCCUAAGCUUCCUAACACAAUCGAGACUUGGUAAAACGUGAGUAAAAGAAACAACAAAGAGUGGUUUGUUU
rnacentral:lncRNA from 1 species